GACGAACGCUGGAGGCGUGCUUAACACAUGCAAGUCGAACGAUGAAAUGGAGCUUGCUCCAUGGAUUAGUGGCGAACGGGUGAGUAACACGUGAAUAACCUGCCCUUAAUUUUGGAAUAACCCAGGGAAACCUGGGCUAAUACCGGAUAAGUAAACCUGUGGCAUCACAUGGUUUUGGAAAGUUUUUCGAUUAAGGAUGGAUUCGCGGCCUAUCAGCUUGUUGGCGAGGUAAUGGCUCACCAAGGCGACGACGGGUAGCCGGCCUGAGAGGGUGGACGGCCACACUGGGACUGAGACACGGCCCAGACUCCUACGGGAGGCAGCAGUGGGGAAUAUUGCGCAAUGGACGAAAGUCUGACGCAGCGACGCCUCGUGAGGGACGAAGGUCUUCGGAUUGUAAACCUCUUUCAGCAGGGACGAAGCGAAAGUGACGGUACCUGCAGAAGAAGCACCGGCUAACUAUGUGCCAGCCGCCGCGGUAA
rnacentral:rRNA from 1 species